GAGAAAACCAGUCCUUAACAGGAGCAGAAUGCUGGAGGGUUACUGAAGGAUGAAUGUAAAUUUAUCCUCCCAGUGAUUUGGAGGACAAGUCAUUGAUGCAUAUAAAGAAAAGUUGUUUUAUUUUUUAGGUGAGAAACAAUGAGAGACUCCAAGAGCUAGAAGUUCAUGCUGCUCAAAAGGCAGAACAAAUGCCAAGAUGUGUAUCCAAGUGGUCUUUGGGAAAGUGUCAUGAAGAGAGAUUAGUACACAGCCUUAACUAUUCACCUGGAUAUACAGCUAGAGACUUGUCCUUCUCCACUGCAACCCAGAGGAGGUCCUGCAUAAGCAGUUGAGAACACAAUAUAUAACUGCAUGUUCUGUGAUGUCCAGGAGUUCUUUACGAGGAGUCCACAUCCAGCUCGUGGCAUGUUUCCUAUGCGUUGGCUGUCUCCAUUAAUUCCCCCUCUCCAGCUAAAUCAAUGUUUCUGUAUGCUGUCAGCACAUAAAGGAAUGCUUUUUUUAAAAU
rnacentral:lncRNA from 1 species